CAGGUGGUCAGGUAGAGAAUACCAAGGCGCUUGAGAGAACUCGGGUGAAGGAACUAGGCAAAAUGGUGCCGUAACUUCGGGAGAAGGCACGCUGACACGUAGGUGAAGUGAUUUACUCAUGGAGCUGAAGUCAGUCGAAGAUACCAGCUGGCUGCAACUGUUUAUUAAAAACACAGCACUGUGCAAACACGAAAGUGGACGUAUACGGUGUGACGCCUGCCCGGUGCCGGAAGGUUAAUUGAUGGGGUCAGCGCAAGCGAAGCUCCUGAUCGAAGCCCCGGUAAACGGCGGCCGUAACUAUAACGGUCCUAAGGUAGCGAAAUUCCUUGUCGGGUAAGUUCCGACCUGCACGAAUGGCGUAAUGAUGGCCAGGCUGUCUCCACCCGAGACUCAGUGAAAUUGAACUCGCUGUGAAGAUGCAGUGUACCCGCGGCAAGACGGAAAGACCCCGUGAACCUUUACUAUAGCUUGACACUGAACAUUGAGCCUUGAUGUGUAGGAUAGGUGGGAGGCUUUGAAGUGUGGACGCCAGUCUGCAUGGAGCCGACCUUGAAAUACCACCCUUUAAUGUUUGAUGUUCUAACGUGGACCCGUAAUCCGGGUUGCGGACAGUGUCUGGUGGGUAGUUUGACUGGGGCGGUCUCCUCCUAAAGAGUAACGGAGGAGCACGAAGGUUGGCUAAUCCUGGUCGGACAUCAGGAGGUUAGUGCAAUGGCAUAAGCCAGCUUGACUGCGAGCGUGACGGCGCGAGCAGGUGCGAAAGCAGGUCAUAGUGAUCCGGUGGUUCUGAAUGGAAGGGCCAUCGCUCAACGGAUAAAAGGUACUCCGGGGAUAACAGGCUGAUACCGCCCAAGAGUUCAUAUCGACGGCGGUGUUUGGCACCUCGAUGUCGGCUCAUCACAUCCUGGGGCUGAAGUAGGUCCCAAGGGUAUGGCUGUUCGCCAUUUAAAGUGGUACGCGAGCUGGGUUUAGAACGUCGUGAGACAGUUCGGUCCCUAUCUGCCGUGGGCGCUGGAGAACUGAGGGGGGCUGCUCCUAGUACGAGAGGACCGGAGUGGACGCAUCACUGGUGUUCGGGUUGUCAUGCCAAUGGCACUGCCCGGUAGCUAAAUGCGGAAGAGAUAAGUGCUGAAAGCAUCUAAGCACGAAACUUGCCCCGAGAUGAGUUCUCCCUGAGACUUAGAGUCUCCUGAAGGAACGUUGAAGACGACGACGUUGAUAGGCCGGGUGUGUAAGCGCAGCGAUGCGUUGAGCUAACCGGUACUAAUGAACCGUGAGGCUUAACCUU
rnacentral:rRNA from 3 species